rnacentral:rRNA from 1 species
UACAGAGGGUGCGAGCGUUGUUCGGAAUUACUGGGCGUAAAGGGCGCGUAGGCGGCCCGUCAAGUCCCGUGUGAAAGCCCCCAGCUCAACUGGGGGAGGCCGUCGGAGACCUCGUGACUUGAGGCCGGUAGGGGAGAGCGGAAUUCCCGGUGUAGCGGUGAAAUGACGCAGAUAUCGGGAGGAACACCAGUGGCGAAGGCGGCACCCUGGCCCACACCUGACGCUGAGGUGCGAAAGCGUGGGUAGCAAACAGG